ACACGUGUUUUCGUCGUAGCCAGUACGUUCAGUCAAAAUGUCAAUCAUGGCGGUAGAACUAGAGGGCUAAUUUAUGGCCUCGUCCUUGUCAGGCCUGCGUUUCUCUAGGAGUGCUUAAUUUAUGGCUCUUUAUUUCUUCCUGACCAAGAGUUUUUUUUAUGACCAGGGGGGUCGUGGUGUGAUCCUACAGAUUGUUUAUGAUAAUGAGUGUCUGUGGGGAUGGUAAUGGCUUUACGACACACCCUACAAUAGGUAUGCUUUAUGUUUAAGAGUAGGGUCAGUUACGCAGAAGUCUCUAAGAGCUCGGCUGUGUAUCAGAGCGCCGUGUAAUUUUAGGCGAAUCGUCGAUUCUCGUUUUAACUCACCGCUAAAGCUUUAUAUUUUAUUUUGGAGAAUACUUCAAAGAGGAGAUGGCCGUCUAUCUAAACAGUAUCUAACGCUACAGGUGAUGCUGACAUUGUGUCUAUCCCGGACAUUGUAGACGAAAUAAAUUUUCUGAACAAGGCAAGCGGGUCGAACACAGAAGUCCCGCGAGUCAGGUUGGAAAACCCCGUGUUGGGCUUGUCAAAUCUUGUAAACAAGAUCGCUGCACUCGAGUUAAAAAAAAAUAGUGCUGCGGUUUCUACUGAACGCUGUAUACCAACGAGCUCUGGAAAGGCCAAGCAUAAAACAGUCGCUCAGGUCCACAGCGUGGGUGUCGCGACGUCUAAACUUAAACGAUCAAGAUCAAGAUCUCCCCCACGAUCGACAGACGAGUCAGCUGUGAAUGAACCGCGCGCUAUAGACUCUGUUUGAACUGGAAUCAGGAGCUGUUUGAUUCGUGGGACGCCUGUGUAUUUACCCCGGUUCCUGGACACGAUCUGCCUUCAAACCAAGAAGCAUUUGGUCGCGAGGCUACUGUUGUUAUAGACAAUAACAGAGACUCGGUGGAGGUGAUACGAACCGGGUUCAAGGCUAUCGAGGAUCGUAUUGCUGGAUUUAGCGUCACCGAGCGUCUGGACAUUAUAGACAAGAAUCAGCUUCUUUAUAAUCAAAGUGUUGUGGAAACAUUACAAAACCAUACCAUCACACAUAAACAAAUCAUAACAACCCAGAAGCUUCUUGUUGGGGAGAUUUGUCGCGUUGAUCACAACCAAUACCUGACGACGGAAUUGUUAAAACAGUUUGUACAGCUGGUUAAAAACAAGAAACUCGGGUGAGUUGUACAAUAAGUAUUUUAUACCCGUGUGUGUGUGUGUGUGUGUGUGUGUGUGUGUGUGUGUGUGUGUGUGUUUAUUUGCUGGUUCGUAUCUGUUUUACUGUGUGUGAUUUUUUUAUUUUAUUUUAUUUUUACUGGUUUUUGUUUCAAUUUUAAAAAAAUCUGUAAAAAUGUCAAAGCGGUGUGGUGAAAACUUGUGUAAUCUGGGAGCAGCAAUUAAAUUUAGAAGAUGCGACGAUGAUGGUCUGUCUACUUUUGAACAGCGUGGUAAUACAGAGACGUUACAGGGUUUAAUUCGAACAAUGGAGGAUCUGAAUACACAGCAGUCUACCACAGAUACUUUGUUGGACUUGUUAAACCGUGUUAGAUCAAUGGCUGAGGUUCAAACAGAACCAAUGCCUAAUUCGUUGUUAGACAUCGGUUCAAAUUCGUUGUUAUACAGCGAUUCAAAAUCACAGCAGGUGGGGUGGGGGUCAGACAGUCAAUCGUUUAAUCCUUCGGAGCCAAAUUGUGGAUUAUCCGAAGCCGCUAUUGAGUCUAUCGUAAGAGAGGGUGGGUCUGUUGGUGGUUAUACGGUGGUACCGAGACACAGAUUUAAUGAAUUGGAGAUACGGCGUCGUAUAAACAUGCGUGUGAUAACUGCGUACACUAUAUUUCUGCAUGAUAUCAUGUCUGAAAUAAUGUCGUUUUCCAGACUGCUGGCCGGCGAUGGGGGCUUAAUCAACAUUACCUUGAGAGGCCCUAGUCUACCGUCUGAUGUUAACGCUGUCUUGUCACCUGACAACGAUUACGUUUUGCACAUAUUCACACAACAACUUGAGAACAUUAUGCAAAGUGAUUCUAACGUACGGGCUGAUUAAUGUCUAGAUCUGAACGUGUCUAUAGCUUGCGGUAAACACAGUGGUGCUUAUCGAAAGAUACGUGAUUUAGCUCAUAACGAGGUGAUUGCCAGAAACAGAAUGAAUCUGUUCUGCCCCAACAACAUAUCUAAAAAUUUAUGUUUUGCGAUCUGUCUGUCCCAUUUUCUACAACCGCAUACGCCAUGUAGUGAACUUGAGUCGUUAGCCGCGUCUCCACAGAAAACUGCAGGGUAUUCGGUACAACAGAAGAUAGGGUUUAAUGACAUCACAUGGUUUGAACGGUUGUUACGGUUGUUAAAAUAGUGGUAUUCCAUAGAACAUGUUUUGGUCUGUUGGAACACUUUACGAACAAUGACGAGCCUCAUAAUAAGACCGUGUUCUUGUAUCUACACAACAAACAUUUCUUGAUUAAGAACCUAAAAGCAUUCAUUGGUACACCAUACGUGUGUGAAUACUGCUAUCAUGGUUUUACUAGCCGUAAAGAGACCACAGGUGUAAAUACGUUUGCGAUGUAUGUAAUGCGCCUGAUUGUCAUAAAUACGUUGGCAAAACGAGGCAAUGUCAUGAUUGUUUGCGGUACUGCAGAUCAGCCUACUGUUACAACGCGCAUAAACAAAUGCAAACAGGACAACAGUACGCUCAGUGUGAUGUCACUAAAUACUGUCAGAAAUGUAAUAGGCGAUAUCACGUCAACGGAGCCGCACCAAAAAAACAUGUGUGCCCGGCAGAACACUGUAUCCAUUGUAAAGCUGAGUUGGUUAAUGACUGAGUAUGCCAAUGUUUCAUACAACUGAUAAAAAAUGGAACCACCUAGCGACAAAUACAUUUAUUAUGAUUUUGAGACAUGUCACGAUUCCCCCUUGAAGCAGCAUGCUCUAAGCGCGAAUGCGCGAGCACCUGCUUUUCCAUUGUUUCCUGUAAUGACUUCUGGACACGUGUGUUUUGUUUACGUUUCUGUCUCCUCCCUGUUCUGUCAUUGGCUGGGAUUUCACGUGGGUCUGAAUUGCUCUCAGCUGCUAGCAGUUUAGACGCUGAUUAUGUCAGCAUAUAUACCGCGCGCCUCACAGCACACAACGCGGAAGAGUAAAUGUUUAGAGCUAGUUUAACGCGUAUCGUAGGCAUAGUCACGGUCCAUGUUUAGAGUUAGUUCGCGCUGGAUUAUCCGCUUCCAGUCCCUCGUCAUAGUUUGUUUCUUGCUUUGUUUAUCGACCUAGAUUCAUGCCUUGCCCCGUGUAUGCCUGUUUGCCAAUCGCCUGACCUCUUGCAUGUUUGUGGAUUACGUUUUGGAUUUGUCUGCCUGUCUGUCUUUCUAAUAAACAACUGUUCAUCCUGCACUUGCAUCCGUCCGAUCUCUGCUCCGUCACGAUUCGUGACAAGACACAACACACAGACAGUAAACAUGUAGCAAAUUUCGUAUGCGCCAUUACAUUUAAAGGGGUAGAGUUAACAGCCGCUGGUACAGACUGUAUAGAUCAACUUGUUAAAAAGUUUAGACACCCUCAUUACCAGAAUUACACAUGGGUUGCACACAACGCUUCAGGGUUUGACAAUUUUAUACUAUUGGAAUAUUUUGCAAAAGUAGGGCUAACACUCCAAAUUACUAUGCAAGGCUGUCGGAUCAUUUUUAUGUAUGAUAAGACAUUCAAGCAACGUUUCAUCGAUAGCUACUCUUUCAUCCCUAUGCGUCUGUCCAUGACAUCCGCCGCGUUAAAUCUAACCUGUGCUGAGAAAGGUCAUUUCCCACACCUGUUCAGUAGAAUAGAAAAUGAAGACUACGUAGGCCCAUACCCUGACAAGCAUUUCUACGGCUAUGAGACAAUGUCUGACAAAGAGAGGGCUCUGUUUGAUGAGUGGUAUGUUACGGUGUCGGGUAAGGUUUUUGAUUUAAAAAAAGAGCUCCCCAUGUACGGCAAGAACGAUGUCGUUUUGCUCCGUGAGGCAUGCAUGAAGUACCAUGACGAAUUCAUACAAUGUACCAAACUCGACCCAUUCAGAUACACCACUUUAGCAGUGUGCUACAUGGCCAUGUAUAAAACCCACUACCUACCAAAAGACACACUAGCUCUGACCCAUAACAACGCAUACACAAAACAGAACAAGACAUACUCAGCCGUUUCCAUUGAAUGGCUUGAAUAUGUCAAAACAACACGCGGCGUGAACAUUCAGCACGCUUUAAAUCAUGGAGAGAUGGUGAUUGGAAAAUAUAAUCUCUGUGGUUAUUAUGAAAAGGAUGGUGUCAAAUACGGUUUCGGAUUCAACGGAUGCAUGUUUCACGGGCAUGAAUGUUGUUAUAACCCAACCCAUUUACAUCCGUUAUCAAAAGUGCCCUACGGUUUGCUCAGAAGACAGUUUGAUGAUGAGCAUAGAGCUAUUGAAAGGUGUGGAAAAGGGUUAUAUUGUAACGAAUGUGGACGAGGUGUGGCAUUUUCCACAACGGUCAGAAACUUUGUUUUGUGAUUAUGUUAAAACAUUUUUACAAUAUAAACAAGAGGCCAGCGGUUUCCCCGCACACGUUAUGACAGACGCAGACAAGGAAUCCUACAUCUCAGACUACUUUGAGAAAGAGGGGAUUAAGAUGGACGCCGGUAAGAUAAGUCGCAACCCAGCACGGCGUUCUAUUAACAAACUUCUGCUGAACUUACUUUGGGGUCGUUUUUCCAGGCGUGAAAACUUGCCGUGUACAGAGUUCAUUUCGGACCCAGAACAAUUUACACAGCACAUAUUCAGUGACGGUUAUGGUGUUAAACACUUUUCCUUCAUUUCAGACAGCGUGGCUCUAAUUCAGUGGUAUUAUGCGGAUGGGAAACGGGGGCAGACUCGCGACAUCAACAUCUUUCUUGGGGCUUUCACAGCAGCUCAUGCCCAUCUAGAACUUUACGAAUUAAUGGACAAAUUGGGUGACAGGCUGUGGUACAGUAACACUGACAGUGUGAUCUUUACAUCUAGAGAGGGCGACUGGGAACCUCCGUUGUGCCCCUAACUCGGUAAUUUAACUGACGAGGUUGGAGCUGGUGAUCAUAUUGUAGAAUUUUGUUCAGGCGGACCAAAAACAUACGGCUACCGCACUGCGAAGGGUAAGGUAUGCAUGAAAGCCAAAGAUGUCACGCUCAACGCAGUAAAUUCAAAAGCCAUUAGAUUAGACACCCUGAUUGGACUUGUCGAUCACUACGUCGUGGGGGCGGAUAAUAGUUGUCAUAUACUGGCAUACACAGAUACCAUUGUACGUAAUAAAAAACAAUUCACACUACACAACAGGUCAGUUGUUAAAAAGUUUAAGGUUGUGUACAACAAAUGCGUACUGCUCCCAGAUUUCACAACGAUCCCAUGUGGCUUCUGACAAUCUUUUUGACAUAGGGGUGUGCGAGACACAGAGGGGUUUGAUUUCAGAUUACAUCACCCUUUUUCAUGUGUGAUAAGCGGACCUUCAAACUUGGGAAAGUCAUAUUUUGUAAAAAUGUUGUUGCAAAAUGCUGUACAUUUGAUUUCUAAAAAAAUUGAAAAUAUUGUGUAUAUUUAUGAUUGUUGGCAACCAUUGUAUGAUGAAUUGUUGAAAAUGUACAAAAUAAAAUUUGU